GACGAACGCUGGCGGCGUGCUUAACACAUGCAAGUCGAACGGAAAGGCCCCUUUUAGGGUACUCGAGUGGCGCACGGCUUAGUAACACGUGAUUAACCUGCCCUUGACUUCGGGAUAACUUCAGGAAACUGGGGCGAAUACCGGCGAGGAAUCCUUGCUGCAUGAUGGGUGUUGGAAAGCUUCGUCGGUUUUGGAUUGACUCGCGGCUUAUCAGCUUGUUGGUGGCGUAGUGGCUUACCAAGGCUUUGACGGGUAGCCGGCCUGAGAGGGCGACCGGCCACAGUGGGACUGAGAUACGGCCCAGACUCAUACGGGAGGCAGCAGUGGGGAAUGUUGCACAAUGGGCGUAAGCCUGAUGCAGCAACGCCGAGGGCGGGAUGACGGCCUUCGGGUUGUAAUCCGCUUUCAGCAGGGGCGAAGCUUGUGGUGACGGUACCUGCAGAAGAAGCACCGGCUAACUACGUG
rnacentral:rRNA from 1 species